rnacentral:rRNA from 1 species
GUUGAACGCUGGCGGCGUGCCUAACACAUGCAAGUCGAGCGGACGGAGGAGAAGCUUGCUUUUCUGAUGUUGGGGGCGGGCGGGUGAGUCCCACGUGUAUACCCUACCUAUAAGACUGGGGUCACUUCGGGGAACCGGAGCUAACACCCGAUAAUAUUUUGAACCGCAGGGUUCUUAAGAGAAAGACGUACUUGCUGUCACUAGUAGGUGGAUCCGCGCUGGAUUAGCUAGUUGGUAAGGUAACGGCCUACCAAGGCGACGAUGCGUAGCCGACCUGAGAGGAUGAUCAGCCACACUGGAACUGAGACACGGUCCAGACUCCUACGGGAGGCAGCAGUAGGGAAUCUUCGGCAAUGGGCGAAAGCCUGACGCAGCAACGCCGCGUGAGUGAUGAAGGUCUUCGGAUCGUAAAGCUCUUUUAUUAGGGAGGAACAUAUGUAUGAGAAAAUCUUCAUGUCUUGACGUUACCAACUGAAAAAGCCCCGGCUAACUACGUG